rnacentral:lncRNA from 10 species
UCUGUGAUUCUUUCUUCAGGUUAGUCUAUUCUGUUUUUAGUGCUUCCAAUUGCAUUCUGAAAUUUCUGUAGCAGGGAGCUGAAAUAUCCCAAAUAUUGUCUAGUUAUUUAAGUCUCUUCGUAGGUCUAUAAGAACUUCUCUAAUGAAUUUGGGUGCUCCAGUGUUGGGUGCAUAUAUAGAUUGUUUUUUUUUUUCUUUUCUUGCUGAUUUGUUUAAACUCUUUGUAGAUUGUGCAUAUUAGUCCUUUGUCAGAUAUACAGAUUGUGAAGAUUUUCUCCCAAACUGUAGUUAUCUGUUAGCUCUGAUGAUGAUUUCUUCUUAUGUGAAGAAUAAUGGUGGUAUUUUGACGGUGGUAUUUGAUGGACACUGAAUU